UGGCUCAGCAGUUAAGAGCACUGACUGCUGUUCCAGAGGUCCUGGGUUCAAUUCCCAG
rfam:Rattus norvegicus chromosome 4, whole genome shotgun sequence.